rnacentral:misc_RNA from 1 species
AUCUCUCUCUCUCUCUCUCUACAUUUUAGCUUCUCCUCCACUGCCCUCCCUCCAUCUUUCCCUCCCUCCCUCCCUUUUCUGCCUUUUCCUCUUUCAUGUCUUCAGCACUUGCUUCAACCCAACCUUGGCUCUAGUUCCUAAAUGCAUCCUUCCACGCCCACCAUCACUGCCCAACCAUCGCGACCACCGCCCCCUCCGUCACCGGACAAACCACCGCAAACGUUCCUUGACCUAAUCACAAGCGUUCUCUCCCUCCUCCUUGUCUCCUCCCUCACCGUCAGAUCCUUCAUCGGACGGUGGCAAGUCAUCCGUACUAAACUCACCUCUCUUCAAUCCUCACUUUCUUUACUCUCUGAUUCCCCUCACUGGUCUCAAAACCCUCUUCUUCAUACUCUCCUCCCUUCCCUCUUAUCGACCCUACAACGCCUCCAAUCUCUUUCUCACCAGUGCACUCUCUCCUCCUUCCCUGGCGGUAAGCUCCUGUUUCAGAGCGACCUCGACAUCGCUUCCUCUUCCCUUUCCAAUCACCUCCAUGACCUCGAUUUACUUCUCAAGUCUGGAGUCCUCCAUCAAUCAAAUGCUAUCGUUCUCUCGCACCCUGGCCCCAGUUCGGACAAAGAGGAAUUAGCCUUUUUUGUGCGGGAUCUUUUUACCAGAUUGCAAAUCGGAGGCGUGGAGUUUAAAAAGAAAGCGUUAGAUUCGCUUAUUCAGAUUCUAAACGACGAUGAGAAAUCUGCCAGUUUAGUCGCUGAAGAGGGAAGUGUUGGGUGUUUGAUUAGUUUACUCGAUUCUCACAAUGAACGUUCGAUUCAAGAGCAAGCAGUCUUGGCCGUGUCGAUUCUGGCUUCUGGAAGCGAUGAAGCUAGAAAAACUGUAUUUGAAGAAGGAGGAUUGGGGCCUUUGUUGAGAAUCCUGGAUACUGGGUCUAUGCUUUUAAAAGAAAAGGCUGCGAUUGCGAUUGAGGUAAUCACCGCGGAACCAGAGAAUGGGUGGGCGAUUUCGGCUUACGGAGGCGUUUCACUGUUGAUUGAAGCGUGUCGAUCUGGAUCGGAGGCGACACAGACAUAUGCUGUGGGUGCUAUUAGGAACGUCGCGGUGGUGGAGGAUAUCAAGAUGGCACUAGCAGAGGAAGGUGCUGUGCCAGUUCUAGUUCAUUUGCUUGUUUCGGGUGCCAGUGCUGCUCAAGAAAAGGCAGCUCAUUGUAUGGCAAUACUGGCUUCUUCCGGCGAGUAUUUUCGCAUGCUGAUAAUCCAAGAAAAGGGUUUGCAGAGACUAAUGGACGUGAUACAAAGUAUGCCAAGUUCAGAUACAAUAGAACACGUUAUGCGAGCAAUCAGCUCUCUCUCAGUCUCGGAUUCCACGGCUCGGAUUCUAUCAUCGUCGACCUUAUUCAUUACCCGCCUUAGCGAAUUCACCAAAGAGGGCAGCCUAAUCUUGCAACAAAUCUCGGUAUCAUUGCUUGCUAGUCUCUCAAUUAGCGAUGGGAACAAGCGAGCAAUUUCUGGCUGUGUAGCUUCACUGGUGAAGCUAAUGGAGGUGCCAAAGCCUGCGGGUAUACAAGAGGCAGCAACAGCUGCGCUAGUGUCGUUGUUGACGGUCCGGUCGAAUAGGAAAGAAUUGGUGAGGGAUGAAAAAAGUGUGAUGAAAUUAGUCCAGAUGCUGGAUCCAAAACGUGAACUGGUUUCCAAGAGGUUUCCGGUGAUGGUGGUCGUCGCCGUAUUGACUGGAGGAAGUGGCGAGUGUAGGAAGAGACUUUUGGAUGCCGGAGCUUAUCAGCAUUUGCAAAGGCUGGAGGAGAUGGAGGUAGCCGGAGCUAAGAAGGCUGUGCAGAGACUUGCCGGGAAUAAGCUCAAGAAUAUAUUCUCCAGGACUUGGAGGGAAUAACCAGAAAAGAAACUAACCCCGCCAACAAAAAGGUACGGUCUUUCAAUGAUAACAUUGGAAAUUUGAUUAUUUUUACAGGAUGCAUCUGCCAAUGAUGACUUGCCAAAUAGCUUUGAUGAUGGGUUUCUGCUAACUGCGCUUAGGAUGAAACAAAUUGAUAAGUACACACAUAAGAGUAGAUAAUUUUGGGCACAAUGAAUCAGAAAUUACACACUAAGACUGUGUUUGGUAGAAUGUGACUGUUUGAUAGAAAGUUAAAAAAUCUUACAUUUUGAACCUUUAAAGAUGACAAUCAUUAAUCUAUAGUUUAACAUUUAACCUUUGGUAAAAAUAUUAAAGAGUUGACCAAAUAACCUCUUAAGGACAGGUAACUUGCCAAGUAGCUUUGAUGAUGAGAAUGUUUUUUUUAUUGCACCAAUUCCAUGUUUUUUUUUUUGGUGCAUAGGAUUUUCUUUGGUACAUUGGUGGCUAGUGAAGAUGAUUAGUCAUGUAUGUUUAAGUUAUUAAGCUAAUAGUUCUGCAUUAGAAUGGUUACUAUUUUUUAUUAGGAGAUCAAGGCUUCAAACUAUUUCAGACAUACCAAAUGGAAUACUUCCAUCAGAUGAACUACUUAAUUUAUCUCUAAUUAAAAAUUGGAUUUGUGGUAAAUAAAAUUAAAAUAAUUAUAUAAACAUGAAAAUCUCAAGUUUCGUAAUUCUAUCUUGGUAAUUAGGUUGUAAUUAAGGUGCCUCAAUUGUCAAGGUUAGACUUGAGACUUUUUCACGGGGGAUGGAAGUGUAAACAUUAGACUUUUUAGCGUGUAUAUUUGGUCGACUCGCCACAUACAUAUUAUAAUUUUGUAGUAUAUUUUAGUGUUAUUCAUUUUUUCCUAAGGUAUUGUUAAUUAUAAUGCAGGAGUCUUUGUAUUUUCUAACUGUCCAAGAAUGAGGAAAACACUACUUUUGUGGACAAAGCAAGCAACCAACAAACACACAUCUCGUAUACUCCAA